rnacentral:rRNA from 1 species
UACGAAGGGGGCUAGCGUUGCUCGGAAUCACUGGGCGUAAAGCGCACGUAGGCGGCUUUCUAAGUCAGGGGUGAAAUCCUGGAGCUCAACUCCAGAACUGCCUUUGAUACUGGAGAGCUUGAGUCCGGGAGAGGUGAGUGGAACUCGAGUGUAGAGGUGGAAAUUCGUAGAUAUUCGGAAGAACACCAGUGGCGAAGGCGGCUCACUGGCCCGGUACGUCGACGCUGAGGUGACGAACGGAGGGGCAAAGCAGGGAUUAAGAACGGAUCC